rnacentral:lncRNA from 1 species
GGCCAGAUAAGAGAAUAAAAGCAGGCUGCCCCCAAGCCAGCAGUAGCAAAGCUGUCCGUUUUGGUUUCUCACCGUGGAAGCUUUGUUCUUUUGGUCUUUUGUAAUAGGUCUUGCUGUUGCUCAGUGUUUGGGUCUACAUUACUUUUGGAGCUGUGGCACUCCGCGUGAAGGCUUGCAGCUUCACCCUUGAAGCCAGUGAGACCAUGAACCCACCAGGAGGAGUGAAGGCUGUCUUGUCUUAAGUAGUCCUACCGGCUGUAACGGUUGUUGUGAAAGUCUGUAUCCUCACUCGUGAGCCAGCAAGACCAUGAAUCAACUAGGAGGAAGAAACUCCGAACAUAUGCGAACAUCAGGAGGAACAAACUCUGGAUACGCUGCUUUUAAAAGUUGUAAUGCUCACUGAGCAGGUUUGCGGCUUCAUUCUUGAAGUCAGUGAGACCAAGAACCCACCAAUUCUGGACACAAAAUCUGUUUGCCUGUUUAGAGGCAUACUACGGGGUUACAUUAGAAGCCCACCGAGAUAAUCCAAUACAAUCUUCUGAUCUCAAAAUCCUUCACUUAAUGACAUCUUUGGCAACUUGAAAUAAUAAUCACAGGUGUCUGACUUUUAAGGUGAGAGAACUAAGUUGUGUGACUCCAAAAGAGCAGAAACCAGGAACUGGAGAAUGGAGGACCAAAGAUCAGAGAACAAACGGUUGUAAAUCUCUCACUCCAGCAUGGCCCACCGUAUACCUGGAGGAAAGGAAUGUCCCUAUCUGAAGACACAGAGACACCAAGAAGAAUCCGAACAGGACUUGCUAAGUUCCCUCCUGUUUAUAACCAUUAGCUAAUACCCUUUUACCCAAUCAUACUUCUGCAUGACUGUUCAUGAACAUACACAGUUUUCCCUGUUUCUUUGGAUCUUAAUUUCUGAAGGUUCCCGGGUCACAUAAAGCUUGUUUUGUUCUCUUUUGUUUGAGACAAGGUCUCACUCUGUCAGCCAGGCUGGAGUGCAGUGGUAUGAGCAUGGUUCGCUG